GACGAACGCUGGCGGCGUGCUUAACACAUGCAAGUCGAACGGAAAGGCCCUGCUUUUGUGGGGUGCUCGAGUGGCGAACGGGUGAGUAACACGUGAGUAACCUGCCCUUGACUUUGGGAUAACUUCAGGAAACUGGGGCUAAUACCGGAUAGGAGCUCCUGCUGCAUGGUGGGGGUUGGAAAGUUUCGGCGGUUGGGGAUGGACUCGCGGCUUAUCAGCUUGUUGGUGGGGUAGUGGCUUACCAAGGCUUUGACGGGUAGCCGGCCUGAGAGGGUGACCGGCCACAUUGGGACUGAGAUACGGCCCAGACUCCUACGGGAGGCAGCAGUGGGGAAUAUUGCACAAUGGGCGGAAGCCUGAUGCAGCAACGCCGCGUGCGGGAUGACGGCCUUCGGGUUGUAAACCGCUUUCGCCUGUGACGAAGCGUGAGUGACGGUAAUGGGUAAAGAAGCACCGGCUAACUACGUGCCAGCAGCCGCGGUGAUACGUAGGGUGCGAGCGUUGUCCGGAUUUAUUGGGCGUAAAGGGCUCGUAGGUGGUUGAUCGCGUCGGAAGUGUAAUCUUGGGGCUUAACCCUGAGCGUGCUUUCGAUACGGGUUGACUUGAGGAAGGUAGGGGAGAAUGGAAUUCCUGGUGGAGCGGUGGAAUGCGCAGAUAUCAGGAGGAACACCAGUGGCGAAGGCGGUUCUCUGGGCCUUUCCUGACGCUGAGGAGCGAAAGCGUGGGGAGCGAACAGGCUUAGAUACCCUGGUAGUCCACGCUGUAAACGGUGGGUACUAGGUGUGGGGUCCAUUCCACGGGUUCUGUGCCGUAGCUAACGCUUUAAGUACCCCGCCUGGGGAGUACGGCCGCAAGGCCAAAACUCAAAGGAAUUGACGGGGCCCCGCACAAGCGGCGGAGCAUGCGGAUUAAUUCGAUGCAACGCGUAGAACCUUACCUGGGUUUGACAUGGAUCGGGAGUGCUCAGAGAUGGGUGUGCCUCUUUUGGGGUCGGUUCACAGGUGGUGCGUGGCUGUCGUCAGCUCGUGUCGUGAGAUGUUGGGUUAAGUCCCGCAACGAGCGCAACCCUUGUUCACUGUUGCCAGCACGUUAUGGUGGGGACUCAGUGGAGACCGCCGGGGUCAACUCGGAGGAAGGUGGGGAUGACGUCAAGUCAUCAUGCCCCUUAUGUCCAGGGCUUCACGCAUGCUACAAUGGCUGGUACAGAGAGUGGCGAGCCUGUGAGGGUGAGCGAAUCUCGGAAAGCCGGUCUCAGUUCGGAUUGGGGUCUGCAACUCGACCUCAUGAAGUCGGAGUCGCUAGUAAUCGCAGAUCAGCAACGCUGCGGUGAAUACGUUCCCGGG
rnacentral:rRNA from 1 species